rnacentral:rRNA from 10 species
CUCAAAUCAGGUAGGACUACCCGCUGAACUUAA